rnacentral:lncRNA from 1 species
UUGAUUGAUUGAUUGUUGGUUGCUUAACGUCCAGUGGCAAAUAUUGCAUGCAUAUUCAGGACCAGAACAAGUUCACAAUAAAUACAAAAGUUAGGUUGUUAUAAUAGAGGAUGAUGGUCGGGGAAAUUUGGACUACCACUGGAAAAUGAGGGUAUAUUGGAUAGAGACAGUAAUUUUGCCUUGCAACAGGCCACCUACGGACCCCUCAAAGAGUUGUUGCAAGGGUUCUUAACGUGCAAAGAGCGUGGCACUCUCUUUACACGAGGCAUCGGAAUUAACGUCCCCCUUCUGACUGGACGUGACUGCGAACUUAUACAUCCCGCACAGCCAAACGGACGCCCCAC